GCUAGGACAUAAUGAAAGGGCUCAAAGGCUGCUAUUCUGCACAAGUCCAAAAUAUGUGCCAUCAGCCAGCUUCACCAAGUCUGCUUCUGCCCUGUGAUCUAAAGGGCUUUGGUGAUGCUUUUUACUGGAGAAAGACUGAUCUCAACAGAGAAUGCAGAGAAACAAAACCAAAACUACGCACAAAUUGGAAGAAUAACCAUAUUUGAAGUAGCACAUGCUCUGACACAAUGUUGUCCAACUCAAAGGUAGUUCACAGAAGUACUGUUUUGGAAUGAUCAAUAAUGUUGAAUCAGCCAUAUUCAUUGAGACUGUACUAUAACUUUAGAAUUCAUCUUUUAUUUAGAAGUGUCCAACAUUAUUGUUCCAGCCUUUGUGUUCACAUACAUUUCGUAAAAAAGUGCAUAAAAAAGCCAAACGCACAAGGUCCUCUCAUUCUCCUUUAAGGAAGUUUAAUAUAUAUUAAUAACACCACCAGUAACCGAACCCUGGAUUAUUAUGAUUAUUUUAACUGGUGUUUGGCAUCAUAUGAUUAUCAGCUUUGACCUUUGAAUGCGCCACAUAAGACGGCUCAGACGGCUUGUAUUUUAUAUUGUACUUUAUAGUCUAUUGUACUUAUUAUAUUUUAUUGUAUUGUUGCUGUUGUUCUUUUUCUUUUUCUUACUUUUCUUUGCACAUGCCAGCUGCAUUGCCAAUUUCACUGGACUUGUUCGGCAACAAUA